UUCACGCCAUUUUGUUAGACUGAAGUAGUCUAUAUUAUGUUCAGCUAUUGAAUUUCUCAUUGGAUCUGGUAUUGGAUAGCCUUAUCGUUGUCCUUGGUAGAUAUUCUUAAAGAAUUAUUUUGACCCCUGUUUAGGGGUCUCAGUUUCAAGUAUCAGAUGUAGGCUACAGGACUGAGAUUUUCAUCUCUGGUUUUCUGCCUGAUGUUUGAUUUACGAUACUGAGGUUCUGGAUUCCAGACUAAGGAGUGCUAUGUUCAGACCUGGUUAUACAGUUUGAAGUUGUGAGCUUUGGUGCUACUUUGAACUCUGAUAUUAGGUGUCGGUGAGCAGUAUAUUGACUAGAAGAUAAUUUGGAAUUGUCCUGACAUUUGAACAUACAGUUUGAUGAGCUGUUUCAUGGAGUUGUUGUCUUGAAAGAUUGUGUGGUCAAUAUUAUUGAACCUUAUAAGUUAAGAUGUUCCUUGAACUAAAAUAAGAUUUGUAAGAUGAUCAACUAACCUUCACAGUCCAUAAUGAUUGCACUAGUUGAAUUCAGCGCCGAGUCAAACGUUAAAGUUCUUUUAUUUGACUUCAUGUGGAAAGUGACUAAACGACAAUAGUCUCAAAACUGUUCUAAAGCUAUUACAACUUUCAUUUGUCAACGACUUUAAAAAACGGAGAUUUCCGAAAAAUACAUCAUUUUCCCAAGGCUUUAAACAAUGUCUAUUUUUAUUAUAACGGAUUUUCCAAUUCCACCCCCGCCCCCCAAAUGAAUUAAAACUACAAGUAUUUGCUUUGUUUUAAAUAUUUACUUCGUAACAAAUAAAGAAGAAUUUGAAGAAGCUACAAGCAGACUACAAAAUUCACGUCUUUUGUUGAACAAUUUUAUUUUGUUUUGAUUAACACAAUUACUUAACACAUUUCAUUAGGACUCACAAACAAAUUUGAUGUUGGUGUAUUAAACUGGAGAAAUGAAAUUUUUACAGAAGUCUUCACUGAAGUUUUCACUUUGCAAUCUGUGUCCAGUUCGUUCAACUCAUACACACUACACAGAUGUACUACACUAGAAAGAAACUAUUUGAUCACGUCAAUAUAUAUGUUUGAAUGUAACCCACAGACAGACCAUAUUUUUAUUUGAAACGAAAAAAGAAACAUUUAACUUGUUAAUUCAACAAACAGACUUGUGAACAAAAAAUUGUAAUAAAAACAUUGUGAGCAAAGUGACAUGGACAUUUUGAAUAGAAACUGAUGAUCAAAACAAAUGUUCAAGGGAUUUUCACACAGAAACAAUCUCUCAAUUCAGAGUCACAUUGAUUGCAUCUCUCAAAGAAAACAAAAAUGCGUUUAAAUUCCAACCAUUUCGCAUGAGUUAAACAAGUGAUGAGCAAAAUUUUUUGACCAGUUAAACAGAGUAUUCAUCCAAAAAGAAUGUGAAUUUAAUCCCUUCAUUUAAAUGUAUCAAUAUAAAAUGGUGUCAUCAAAUUAAAUAACUUUUU